CUCCAGUCGCGCAAGUGGGAAGGCGUGGUCUGCACAAACCAACUAGCGAGAGUUCGAUUCUCUCCCUGGAGUCCA
rnacentral:tRNA from 2 species